rnacentral:rRNA from 1 species
UGCCAGCCGCCGCGGUAAUACGUAGGUGGCGAGCGUUACUCGGAAUCACUGGGCAUAAAGCGCGUGCAGGCGGCCUUGCAAGUCGGGUGUGAAAGCCUCCAGCUUAACUGGAGAACUGCGCCCGAUACUGCGUGGCUAGAGGCUGGUAGGGGAGAGUGGAAUUCCCGGUGGAGCGGUGAAAUGCGUUGAUAUCGGGAGGAACGCCGGCGGCGAAAGCGGCUCUCUGGUCCAGUCCUGACGCUCAGACGCGAAAGCUAGGGGAGCAAACAGGAUUAGAUA